AUGCCAGACUCCUACGGGAGGCAGCAGUGGGGAAUAUUGCACAAUGGGGGGAACCCUGAUGCAGCGACGCCGCGUGGGUGAAGGAGCACCUCGGUGCGUAAAGCCCUAUCGGCAGGGAAGAAAAGCGAACAGGUUCGCCUGGACGGUACCUGACUAAGGAGCCCCGGCUAACUACGUGCCAGCAGCCGCGGUAAUACGUAGGGGGCAAGCGUUAUCCGGAUUUACUGGGGGUAAAGGGGGCGCAGACGGCGAUGCAAGCCAGGAGUGAAAGCCCGGGGCCCAACCCCGGGACUGCUCUUGGAACUGCGUGGCUGGAGUGCAGGAGGGGCAGGCGGAAUUCCUAGUGUAGCGGUGAAAUGCGUAGAUAUUAGGAGGAACACCAGUGGCGAAGGCGGCCUGCUGGACGGUGACUGACGCUGAGGCUCGAAAGCGUGGGGAGCAAACAGGAUUAGAUACCCGGGUAAAC
rnacentral:rRNA from 1 species